rnacentral:pre_miRNA from 1 species
GGUUCUUACGACCUCCGGUUAAAGUUAACCGACACUUUACUGGACAUUGUAAGAACGG